UACGAAGGGGGCUAGCGUUGUUCGGAAUCACUGGGCGUAAAGGGCGCGUAGGCGGCUUGAUAAGUCGGGGGUGAAAGCCUGUGGCUCAACCACAGAAUUGCCUUCGAUACUGUCGAGCUUGAGACCGGAAGAGGUAAGUGGAACUGCGAGUGUAGAGGUGAAAUUCGUAGAUAUUCGCAAGAACACCAGUGGCGAAGGCGGCUUACUGGUCCGGUUCUGACGCUGAGGUGCGAAAGCGUGGGGAGCAAACAGG
rnacentral:rRNA from 1 species